UAUUGCACAAUGGGCGAAAGCCUGAUGCAGCGACGCCGCGUGAGUGAAGAAGUGUCUCGGUCUGUAAAGCUCUAUCAGCAGUGAAGAANNUGACGGUACCUGACCAAGAAGCCCCGGCUAACUACGUGCCAGCAGCCGCGGUAAUACGUAGGGGGCAAGCGUUAUCCGGAUUUACUGGGUGUAAAGGGAGCGUAGACGGCGACGCAAGACUGGGGUGAAAGCCCGGGGCCCAACCCCGGGACUGCUUUGGAAACUGUGCUGCUGGAGUGCAGGAGAGGUAAGUGGAAUUCCUAGUGUAGCGGUGAAAUGCGUAGAUAUUAGGAGGAACACCAGUGGCGAAGGCGGCUUACUGGACUGUAACUGACGUUGAGGCUCGAAAGCGUGGGGAGCAAACAG
rnacentral:rRNA from 1 species